CCUACGGGUGGCUGCAGUGGGGAAUAUUGCACAAUGGGGGAAACCCUGAUGCAGCAACGCCGCGUGAGGGAAGACGGUUUUCGGAUUGUAAACUUCUGUUCUUAGUGAAGAAUAAUGACGGUAGCUAAGGAGCAAGCCACGGCUAACUACGAGCAAGCAGCCGCGGUAAUACGCAGGUGGCAAGCGUUGUCCGGAAUUACUGGGGGUAAAGGGAGCGCAGGCGGGAAGCCAAGUCCGCUGUGAAAACUACGGGCUUAACUUGUAGAGAGCAGUUGAAACUGGGUUUCUUGAGUGAAGUAGAGGAUGGCGGAAUUCCGGGUGUAGCGGUGAAAUGCGUAGAUAUUCGGAGGAACACCAGUGGCGAAGGCGGCCCACUGGGCUGUAACUGACGCUGAGGCUCGAAAGUGUGGGGAGCAAACAGGAUUAGAUACCCGGGUAGUC
rnacentral:rRNA from 1 species